rnacentral:misc_RNA from 1 species
GAUGAAGAACGCAGCGAAAUGCGAUAAGUAGUGUGAAUUGCAGAAUUCAGUGAAUCAUCGAAUCUUUGAACGCACAUUGCGCCCCUUGGUAUUCCAUGGGGCAUGCCUGUUCGAGCGUCAUUUGUACCUUCAAGCUUUGCUUGGUGUUGGGUGUUUGUCUCGCCUCCGCGUGUAGACUCGCCUCAAAACAAUUGGCAGCCGGCGUAUUGAUUUCGGAGCGCAGUACAUCUCGCGCUUUGCACUCACAACGACGACGUCCAAAAGUACAUUUUUACACUCUUGACCUCGGAUCAGGUAGGGAUACCGCUGAACUUAAGCAUAUCAAUAAGCGGAGGA